AUUGAACGCUGGCGGCAGGCUUAACACAUGCAAGUCGAGCGGGGGAAGGUAGCUUGCUACCGGACCUAGCGGCGGACGGGUGAGUAAUGCUUAGGAAUCUGCCUAUUAGUGGGGGACAACAUCUCGAAAGGGAUGCUAAUACCGCAUACGUCCUAUGGGAGAAAGCAGGGGAUCUUCGGACCUUGCGCUAAUAGAUGAGCCUAAGUCGGAUUAGCUAGUUGGUGGGGUAAAGGCCUACCAAGGCGACGAUCUGUAGCGGGUCUGAGAGGGUGAUCCGCCACACUGGGACUGAGACACGGCCCAGACUCCUACGGGAGGCAGCAGUGGGGAAUAUUGGACAAUGGGGGGAACCCUGAUCCAGCCAUGCCGCGUGUGUGAAGAAGGCCUUAUGGUUGUAAAGCACUUUAAGCGAGGAGGAGGCUACUCUAGUUAAUACCUAGGGAUAGUGGACGUUACUCGCAGAACAAGCACCGGCUAACUCUGUGCCAGCCGCCGCCGUAA
rnacentral:rRNA from 1 species